rnacentral:rRNA from 1 species
UACGAAGGGGGCUAGCGUUGCUCGGAAUCACUGGGUUUAAAGGGUGCGUAGGUGGGUUUGUAAGUCAGCGGUGAAAUCUCCGGGCUUAACUCGGAAACUGCCAUUGAUACUACAGAUCUUGAAUUUUCUGGAGGUAAGCGGAAUAUGUCAUGUAGCGGUGAAAUGCUUAGAUAUGACAUAGAACACCAAUUGCGAAGGCAGCUUGCUACAGGAAUAUUGACACUGAGGCACGAAAGCGUGGGGAUCAAACAGG